UCGGUUGAUCCUGCCAGAGGCUACUGCUAUCGGAGUCCGACUAAGCCAUGCGAGUCGAGGGUGUCCCUCUUCGGAGGGAUAACCCGGCGAACUGCUCAGUAACACGUGGACAACCUACCCUUGGGACCGGGAUAACCCCGGGAAACUGGGGACAAUACCGGACAGGCCAUCAAUGCUGGAAUGCUUGGUGGCUGAAAGCUGAGGCGCCCAAGGAUGGGUCUGCGGCCGAUUAGGUUGUUGCCGGGGUAACGUCCCGGCAAGCCGAUGAUCGGUACGGGUUGUGGGAGCAAGAGCCCGGAGAUGGAUUCUGAGACAUGAAUCCAGGUCUUACGGGACGCAGCAGGCGCGAAAACUUUGCAAUGCGGGAACCCGCGACGAGGGGACUCCGAGUGUUAGCUUAUGCUAACUGUACAGGUGUCUAAACCGCACCUGUUAGUAAGGGCCGGGUAAGACCGGUGCCAGCCGCCGCGGUAACACCGGCGGCCCAAGUGGUAGCCGCUUUUAUUGGGUCUAAAGGGUCCGUAGCCGGCCUGGUAAGUCCCUUGGGAAAUCUGACAGCUUAACUGUCAGGCUUCCAGGGGAUACUACCAGGCUUGGGACCGGGAGAGGCCGGAGGUACCUCAGGGGUAGGAGUGAAAUCCUGUAAUCCUUGAGGGACCACCAGUGGCGAAGGCGUCCGGCUGGAACGGGUCCGACGGUGAGGGACGAAAGCUAGGGGCGCGAACCGGAUUAGAUACCCGGGUAGUCCUAGCCGUAAACGAUGCGAGCUAGGUGUCAGCCACAAUGCGGUUGUGGCUGGUGCCGUAGGGAAGCCGUGAAGCUCGCCACCUGGGAAGUACGGUCGCAAGGCUGAAACUUAAAGGAAUUGGCGGGGGAGCACCACAACGGGUGGAUGCUGCGGUUUAAUUGGAUUCAACGCCGGAAAGCUUACCGGGGGAGACAGCAAUAUGAAGGUCAGGCUGAAGACCUUACCAGAUUCGCUGAGAGGUGGUGCAUGGCCGUCGUCAGUUCGUGCUGUGAAGCAUCCUGUUAAGUCAGGCAACGAGCGAGACCCGUGUCCCAAGUUGCCAGCAUUCCCUCCGGGGAGAUGGGUACACUUGGGAGACCGCCUCUGCUAAAGAGGAGGAAGGAACGGGCAACGGUAGGUCAGUAUGCCCCGAAUCCCCCGGGCUACACGCGUCAUACAAUGGUUGGGACAAUGGGAGUCGACCCCGAGAGGGGAAGGUAAUCUCCUAAACCCAACCGUAGUUCGGAUUGAGGGCUGCAACUCGCCCUCAUGAAGCUGGAAUCCGUAGUAAUCGCGCUUCAAAAAAGCGCGGUGAAUACGUCCCUGCUCCUUGCACACACCGCCCGUCAAACCACCCGAGUGAGGCCUGGAUGAGGCUGCGGUCUUUGCCGCAUUCGAAUCCAGGUUUCGCAAGGGGGGUUAAGUCGUAACAAGGUAGCC
rnacentral:rRNA from 1 species